UCGAGGAUCUUCGGCAAUGGGCGAAAGCCUGACCGAGCGACGCCGCGUGCGGGAUGAAGGCCUUCGGGUUGUAAACCGCCGUCGGAGGGGAGGAAGUUCUAGGGGGUUCUCCCCCUAGAUUGACCUAUCCUCAGAGGAAGUACGGGCUAAGUUCGUGCCAGCAGCCGCGGUAAGACGAACCGUACAAACGUUAUUCGGAAUCACUGGGCUUAAAGGGUGCGUAGGCGGCCCGGAAAGUUGGGUGUGAAAGCCCUCGGCUCAACCGAGGAAUGGCGCCCAAAACUACC
rnacentral:rRNA from 1 species